rnacentral:misc_RNA from 1 species
GAUAGUAUGGGACUGCCAAUCUCGAGAUUUCUAUUGAGCGACGAUGAUACUCUCUUUUCGAGUUGGGAAUCAACUUGAAGAUCUUGAUCUUUAUAGGGAAAUGAUGAGUUCACUGGUGUCUCUGUUUGUAAUAGCUUGUUGAUGGCUUUAGCAUGUUUUCCAACUUCUCUCCUGACUCCCUGAGCAUCGUACAUAAUAAGGGACGCGUAAACUACAGUUAUGCCAAAAAUGGAAUCGGCAAGACCCCUCUCAGCGCCGACGAUUGUAGCAGCAGCGACCACCGCAGAGGAAUGGGUUGAAGGGAAGCCUCCAGCCUCAAAGGCAGUUCUGAAGUUAAACUCUCUGCCAUAGAAAACAACAGACGUGAAAGGCUUCGCGAGUUGCCCAAUCGCAGCGGACACAGCGGCGGCAACUAAAACCUUGUUGUGGGUGAGUUGAACGAUUUCGUCAAGCAAUAUAGCUCUCGGAGCGGUGAAAAUUGAUGGAGAAGGACUUAAUUUUCUGAGACGAAUGUGAGAGUGGUGUUGGUGAUGGCAAGGAUGAGUAAUUAGCGGUGACUGAGAUGGAAAAGGGACGGCGGUGGCGGAGCUCCACCAUGACGAUGACAUUCUUCUUCUCUUCAGUGACAAGAAGAGGCCUGAAGGCAACCAAGAAGGUUUGAAGUCAACUUGCCAUAGCAGCGGCCAUUAUUAAUCUGUUUUUCGAAUCCAGCGGGCUUUUGUUCACCACCAGUCUCUCCAUCUCUCUUAUUA